rnacentral:rRNA from 1 species
GACGAACGCUGGCGGCGUGCCUAAUACAUGCAAGUAGAACGCACAGUUUAUACCGUAGCUUGCUACACCAUAGACUGUGAGUUGCGAACGGGUGAGUAACGCGUAGGUAACCUGCCUGGCAGCGGGGGAUAACUAUUGGAAACGAUAGCUAAUACCGCAUAAUAUUAAUUAUUGCAUGAUAAUUAAUUGAAAGGUGCAAUUGCACCACUACCAGAUGGACCUGCGUUGUAUUAGCUAGUAGGUGAGGUAACGGCUCACCUAGGCGACGAUACAUAGCCGACCUGAGAGGGUGAUCGGCUACACUGGGACUGAGACACGGCCCAGACUCCUACGGGAGGCAGCAGUAGGGAAUCUUCGGCAAUGGACGAAAGUCUGACCGAGCAACGCCGCGUGAGUGAAGAAGGUUUUCGGAUCGUAAAGCUCUGUUGUAAGAGAAGGACGGGUGUGAGAGUGGAAAGUUCACACUGUGACGGUAUCUUACCAGAAAGGGACGGCUAACUACGUG